UUAAUAAAGGGAGAGCAGGAGAGUGGUGACGAAUUUCCACAUUCCGAACAAGCUUGUCGAAAGGGGAGUGCAGGGAAGGAGCAAGAAUGAGGCACUGGAAGACGGCUGUAGGCGCAUGAUGUCACAAGUUAUUGGAAGAAAUCCCUCCAACCUAGGUUGGGACAGAUGAAGGCGGCGCUUAUUGGUGUUCACCAAAACACCAGCAUGGUGUACCAGCUUUGGCUAGAUGAUGCUCAGGAGGAUCUCAUUUCUGUACCCUGCCCUGGAAGUUGGCAAAAUAAAACCAGAGACUGGGUAAUUAAUAAAAAGAAGAAAUUGAUCUGGCCUACAGUUCUGGAGCCUUGGAAGUCCGAGAUCAAGGGGCUGCAUCUGGGUUCUAGGAUGCCUCAUAAAGGCCCAUAGUGUACUUUCUGUCUACUUCACUUAGCUCCGCAUUUGCAAUGUCUGUUAACAUGCAUACAGUUGAAUGGAUGGCCAGGGUCAAAGCUAUCUGCUGUGAGACACAAUGAGAAAUGCUUUUGUGUAAAGAUAAAUACCUGGAGUGGGAUUGCUAGAUCACAUGGUAAAUAUGUAUUUAAAUUUAUGAGAAACUGCCAAAGUAUUUUCCAAAGUAAUAGUAACAUUUUACACUCCUACCAGGACUGUCUGAGAGUUCCAGGUGCUCCACAUCCUUACUGACAC
rnacentral:antisense_RNA from 1 species